rnacentral:rRNA from 1 species
AUUGAACGCUGGCGGCAGGCCUAACACAUGCAAGUCGAACGGUAGCACAGAGAGCUUGCUCUCGGGUGACGAGUGGCGGACGGGUGAGUAAUGUCUGGGAAACUGCCCGAUGGAGGGGGAUAACUACUGGAAACGGUAGCUAAUACCGCAUAACGUCUUCGGACCAAAGUGGGGGACCUUCGGGCCUCACACCAUCGGAUGUGCCCAGAUGGGAUUAGCUAGUAGGUGGGGUAAUGGCUCACCUAGGCGACGAUCCCUAGCUGGUCUGAGAGGAUGACCAGCCACACUGGAACUGAGACACGGUCCAGACUCCUACGGGAGGCAGCAGUGGGGAAUAUUGCACAAUGGGCGCAAGCCUGAUGCAGCCAUGCCGCGUGUAUGAAGAAGGCCUUCGGGUUGUAAAGUACUUUCAGCGGGGAGGAAGGCGAUGUGGUUAAUAACCGCAUCGAUUGACGUUACCCGCAGAGGAAGCACCGGCUAACUCCGUGCCAGCAGCCGCGGUAAAAC